GUAAUUUUCAGCCACCAAAGCUAAAGGAAAAAGCAAAAUGGUCAUCGAUAUUCCACAAUUUUGUCAAAAUAGCACUUACAAAAAAUCCAAAGAAGAGGCCAACAGCAGAAAGGCUCCUUUCUCAUAGUUUUGUAGGGCAGCCUGGGCUUUCAAGGUCUUUAGCAGUUGAGCUGUUGGACAAAGUUAAUAAUCCUGAUAACCACGCACACUACAGUGAAGCAGAUGACGAUGAUUUUGAGCCGCACUCCGUUAUUCGCCACACAAUUCGUUCUACAAACAGGAAUGUUCGGGCAGAAAGAACAGCCUCUGAGAUAAACUUUGAUAAGCUGCAGUUUGAGCCUCCUCUGCGGAAAGAGACAGAAGCUCGAGAUGAGAUGGU